AUUGAACGCUGGCGGCAGGCCUAAUACAUGCAAGUCGGACGGUAACAUAAGAAAAGCUUGCUUUUCUUGAUGACGAGUGGCGGACGGGUGAGUAAGAUUUGGGAAGCUACCUGAUAGAGGGGGACAACAGUUGGAAACGACUGCUAAUACCGCAUACAGCCUCAGGGUGAAAGAAGCGAUUCGCUAUCAGAUGUGCCCAAACGGGNUUAGCUAGUAGGUGAGGUAAAGGCUCACCUAGGCGACGAUCUCUAGCUGGUCUGAGAGGAUGAUCAGCCACAUUGGGACUGAGACACGGCCCAGACUCCUACGGGAGGCAGCAGUAGGGAAUAUUGCACAAUGGAGGAAACUCUGAUGUAGCCAUGCCGCGUGUGUGAAGAAGGCCUUCGGGUUGUAAAGCAC
rnacentral:rRNA from 1 species